AGAAUUCUGACUUUAAUCUCAGAACUACGGAGGUCUGUGAGCUACUUCCUUCAGUUAGCUUUAGCAGCACUGUGGAGUCAUACAUGCUGAGUGGAACUAACGAAAAUGUCCUCUUUAAGUUUCUCGUUGCGUGCUGAAGUUUACCAGGAGGCCAGUGUGUUAACAGAAGCCGACAUGCAGAAAAAUGGAACUCCACAUGCCAAGACUUAAUUUGGAGAAAAAGAAGAUGAUUGACCGUGAAGUCAUCGCUUUGGAGGACGAUGCAGCUCUGGGACAGACACAACACACACAAUCACCAUUCACACACUUUACAUUAAUCAACUAUAAUGCUUUUUGGACUGAUGGAAGAAGCUGCCGGAAGGUCAUGUAUGCAGGAGAACAUGCUAACUCCACACAGGACCCUUUUGGGAUUUGAAGCCCUCUUGCUAUGAGGCACGCCUGCUAACCAGUACGUCAUUGUGCUGCUGAGAGAAGUUUAUUUUGAAAAUAAGACCAUUCUAAGUUGGAAGCAGUUAUUAGAAACAACAUUAAUUUGAGUUUAUUGUUUCAAUCAUGGUCAAUUGGAACAUACUUCCUUCAACACAGGAACAGCACAUAUAUAAAGAAACAAAAAUAAGUCACAAUCUGAGUAUACAUCCUUGUAUCUUACUUUUCAUUAUACAAACUAAACAGUUAAUGCUUGAAAUGGGAAGAGAAGAAGCAAAUUUAUUUAACACAUUCCCUAUUAUAAUAUGCAUAACUUAAUGAUAAAUUGUUGCUAUGUUAUAAAUUUUAAACUGUAAUGUUUCUAUAAAAAUGUAUGAAUAAAGGUCUUUCUUCUGAAAUGUUUUUGUAUGAAUUUAUAGGAACCAUAACACCUUUUUUACCAUGUGUGAGUUAAACAGGAGUUGCUAACAUUAUUUAAAAGGUCAGAACUAACACAUGUAAUGCAAGUGGCUGAAUAUUUCAAAAGGAAACAAUUAAAUCAUAUAAUGGAAAUUCAGUUGAUUUAAUACUUUUGAUCUUAGGUUACUAUUAUUUGAUGCAUCUGUUAUGGAAAUACUGAAAAUUAAAAGUAAAUAAUAAAAUGAGAAAAAAUGUGUUUAGUUAUACAUAUUUCUUUAAAUUUCACAGAAGAAAUAAGAGGCCGGGAUAGGCUCCAGCAGCCCCGUGAUCCCAAAAGGGACAAAAUGGGUUCAGAAAAUUAAUCAGAAAUAAAUUCAAAUUAAAAGGAAAAGGUAUGUCAGUUAUCUGCAGGUAUUCUCAGAUAUGUACUAUCGCACAUAUAAACAAGAAAAAACGACAAAACAGUUAAAUUACUUUGUUACCAUAGCUCCAUUAAAAACGACAGAUAAAUAAAUAAAUGUGCUUAAAAAUAA